rnacentral:lncRNA from 1 species
UGUGUGUGUGUGACUUUAAUGCAUUUCCGUUCUCUCUCUUUUUUUUAAUUCCGCUGAUCUUGAAACCUGAAUCAGAAUCGUUUACUGUUUUGUAGCUUGAGUACUCAGAUCGAAUCAAGAAUAUUUCAGUUAACAGAUCUAAUCUCGACGAGACCCGGAGAAAGAGGCGGUUACCUUUCUCCAGCUCUGGAAAAGUGGUGAAAAAGGAACGUUCAUACAGAACAACAAGUGAAACUAAGAGAUCUGAAGAAAAGGGUUUCUUCUUCCUCCCUGAUCUGAACAUGACACCCAUAGAGGAAGAAGAGACCUUGUACGGGACGCGC